rnacentral:piRNA from 1 species
UAGGAACCAUGCACUUCUUGCUAUUGGCCGA